UGAAGAAUAAAUACAGUAAAGCUAUAUUGCCAUUAUGAUGAUGAAGACGGCCUGCAAGAACUAUAAGAAUUUUCUCAAAAUUUUGAGAAAAAGACUUUUGCUGUGCAGCAAGCCAGUCGGAUUAUUUGCACAAAAUAACUUUGAAGGAGGUUUCAAUAAAGAGGAAAAUGCAAGGAGAGGUUUACCAAAAGAUCCUAGUGUUAAAGGAAAUGUACUUGCCAGAAUUGAAUGAAAUGUACCAGAAAAUUGCUAAUAAACUUCAGAAGAGUCCAAACCAUAGUAUAGAGCAUUUUUUUGAACUCAUACUUGUUCAAAAUAUAAGGUUGACUCUCUUCCACAGCAAGCAAAGUCAGACGUAUUUAUGAAACUGAAGUUAUUUAAAGCAAUAUUGGAGCGUCUUACGGCAAUCCUGCAUAUUUUGAGAGUGACAUACCUCCUGGCAUGAGCAAGAAAUUAACUUUAUAUGAGAAGCAAAUUAUCAAUUUUAUAAAUAUGAAUAGGCCAAAGAGUAAUCUAGCAGUGCAAAGUCCCAUCAUCUCCCCAAGUUCUGUAGCAUCAUCUAGUAGCUAAUGCACCAUCAUGAUGGAUGAUCACUAGUCUUGUUAUGGUAUGGAGGUGUGAAUUUUGGAGUUGACAUUGCAAUCUUUUAAAAGAUGAAAUCUUUUUACUUUGUCAGAAGGUGGCAGCCUUCAUCAACUUCUUGUUAAUUUACAACUUGAUUAGUAUAUCUUUGAUGGAUUUGUAACUCUAAAAGGUUUGACUUGUAACU